UACGUAGGGGGCUAGCGUUGUCCGGAAUCAUUGGGCGUAAAGCGCGUGUAGGCGGUCCGGUAAGUCCGCUGUGAAAGUCGAGGGCUCAACCUCGAAUGCCGGUGGAUACUGUCGGGCUUGAGUACGGGAGAGGCGAGUGGAAUUCCUGGUGUAGCGGUGAAAUGCGUAGAUAUUCGCAAGAACACCAGUGGCGAAGGCGGCUCACUGGCCCGAUACUGACGCUGAGGCACGAAAGCGUGGGGAGCAAACAGG
rnacentral:rRNA from 1 species